rfam:Triticum aestivum genome assembly, contig: Triticum_aestivum_CS42_TGACv1_scaffold_513535_6BS
UUAGUACUCCCUCCGUCCCAAAAUUCCUGUCUUAGAUUUGUCCAAAUACGGAUGUAUUAAGUCAUGUUUUAGUAUUAGGUACAUGCGUAUCUAGACAAAUCUAAGACGAGAAUUUUGGGAGGGAGGGAGUAUUAA